AGUGGGGAAUAUUGCACAAUGGGGGAAACCCUGAUGCAGCCAUGCCGCGUGUGUGAAGAAGGCCUUCGGGUUGUAAAGCACUUUCAGUCGUGAGGAAAGGUGUGUAGGUAAUAUCUGCAUACUGUGACGUUAGCGACAGAAGAAGCACCGGCUAACUCCGUGCCAGCAGCCGCGGUAAUACGGAGGGUGCGAGCGUUAAUCGGAAUUACUGGGCGUAAAGCGUGCGUAGGCGGAUUGUUAAGCGAGAUGUGAAAGCCCCGGGCUCAACCUGGGAACUGCAUUUCGAACUGGCAGUCUAGAGUUUUGUAGAGGGUGGUGGAAUUUCCAGUGUAGCGGUGAAAUGCGUAGAGAUUGGAAGGAACAUCAGUGGCGAAGGCGGCCACCUGGACAAAAACUGACGCUGAGGCACGAAAGCGUGGGGAGCAAA
rnacentral:rRNA from 1 species